UGACGCCGUGUUGCAGGGCUAUUAAAUAUCCCAGUUUUUAAACAUAUUGGUCUAAAAACCUUUAGAAAAAUGUAUUUAAUUCAGUCUGCAAAUUCUUU